CUACGGGUCGCUGCAGUGGGGAAUAUUGGACAAUGGGGGAAACCCUGAUCCAGCAAUGCCGCGUGUGUGAAGAAGGCCUGCGGGUUGUAAAGCACUUUCGGUUGGGAGGACUGCUUCUAGCACUAAUAUUGUUGGAAGUUGACGUUACCUUCAGAAGAAGCACCGGCUAACUCCGUGCCAGCAGCCGCGGUAAUGCGGAGGGUGCAAGCGUUAAUCGGAAUUACUGGGCGUAAAGCGCGCGUAGGCGGCUAGAUCAGUCGGGUGUGAAAGCCCCGGGCUUAACCGGGGAACUGCAUCCGAUACUGUCUAGCUUGAGUACAGGAGAGGAGAGUGGAAUUCCACAUGUAGCGGUGAAAUGCGUAGAUAUGUGGAGGAACACCAAUGGCGAAGGCAGCUCUCUGGCCUGAUACUGACGCUGAGGUGCGAAAGCGUGGGGAGCAAACAGGAUUAGAUACCCCGGUAGUC
rnacentral:rRNA from 1 species